rnacentral:rRNA from 1 species
CACGUAGGGGCGAGCGUUAUCCGGAAUUACUGGGCGUAAAGGGUGCGUAGGUGGUUUCUUAAGUCAGAGGUGAAAGGCUACGGCUCAACCGUAGUAAGCUUUGGAACUGUAAGACUUGAGUGCAGGAGAGGAGAGUGGAAUUCCUAGUGUAGCGGUGAAAUGCGUAGAUAUUAGGAGGAACACCAGUAGCGAAGGCGGCUCUCUGGACUGUAACUGACGCUGAGGCACGAAAGCGUGGGGAGCAAACAGGAUUAGAUACCCGCGUAGUCCCUGAG